AUCGAGUCUUCUCCAAGCUGCCUUCAGAACAAGAGGUGGAACUCAGCUCCUCCUGCACCAUGCCUGUCUGGAUGCUGCCAUGCUCCCACCUUGAUGAUAAUGGAUUGAACCUGUAAACCAGCCCCAAUUAAACGUUGUAUUUUGUAAGAGAUGCCUUGGUUGUGAUGUCUGUAUACAGCAGUAAGAUCCAAACUAAGACACCCUCUGAUAAACAUCUUUGUUGAUUUCAAGUUUGGAUAGUUAUAAAUAGAAUAAAGCUGCUGAUGAAAAA
rnacentral:lncRNA from 1 species